AAUUGAAUUGAUAGAUAGAUAGAUAGAUAGAUAGAUAGAUAGAUAGAUAGAUAGAUAGAUAGAUAAAUACUUUUGUCGGGAGCUGAGGUGGGCUGUUCUGCUGGCUUCUCUGCGGGGGUGGCCACCUCUCUAGUGGGGUUGUUCUCUGUCACACGCCACCCCCCUCACCCUCUCCUCCAGCAGUCUGAUCCUCUCCUCUAGUGCUCUGUUCUUCUCCUGCUCCAUCUCCUGUUGAAGUUGUCUCACCACAGGCCAGAGUGCAGAUACAGUUGAAGUCGGAAGUUUACAUACACCUUAGCCAAAUACAUUUAAACUCAGUUUUUCACAAUUCCUGACAUUUAACCGGACAGUAAAACUUCUCAGUCUUAGGUCAGUUAGGACCAUUUUAUUUUAAGAAUGUGAAUUGUCAGAAUAAUAGUAGAGAGAAUGAUUUAUUUCAGCUUUCAUUUCUUUCAUCACAUUCCCAGUGGGUCAGAAGUUUACAUACACUCAAUGAGUAUUUGGUAGCAUUGCCUUAAAUGGUUUCACUUGGGUCAAAUGUUUUGGGUAGCCUUCCACAAGCUUCCCACAAUAAGUUGGAUGAAUUUUGUCCCAUUCCUCCUGACAGAGCUGGUGUAACUGAGUCAGGUUUGUAGGCCUCCUGACAGAGCUGGUGUAACUGAGUCAGGUUUGUAGGCCUCCUGACAGAGCUGGUGUAACUGAGUCAGGUUUGUAGGCCUCCUGACAGAGCUGGUGUAACUGAGUCAGGUUUGUAGGCCUCCUGACAGAGCUGGUGUAACUGAGUCAGGUUUGUAGGCCUCCUGACAGAGCUGGUGUAACUGAGUCAGGUUUGUAGGCCUCCUGACAGAGCUGGUGUAACUGAGGCAGGUUUGUAGGCCUCCUGACAGAGCUGGUGUAACUGAGUCAGGUUUGUAGGCCUCCUGACAGAGCUGGUGUAACUGAGGCAGGUGUGUAGGCCUCCUGACAGAGCUGGUGUAACUGAGUCAGGUUUGUAGGCCUCCUGGCAGAGCUGGUGUAACUGAGUCAGGUUUGUAGGCCUCCUGGCAGAGCUGGUGUAACUGAGUCAGGUUUGUAGGCCUCCUGACAGAGCUGGUGUAACUGAGUCAGGUUUGUAGGCCUCCUGGCAGAGCUGGUGUAACUGAGUCAGGUUUGUAGGCCUCCUGACAGAGCUGGUGUAACUGAGUCAGGUUUGUAGGCCUCCUUGCUCGCACACACUUUUUCAUUUCUGCCCACAAAUGUUCUAUAGGAUUGAGGUCAGGGCUUUGUGAUGGCCACUCCAAUACCUUGACUAUGUUGUCCUUAAGCCAUUUUGCCACAACUUUAGAAGUAUGCUUGGGGUCAUUGUCCAUUUGGAAGACCCAUUUGUGACCAAGCUUUAACUUCCUAACUUAUGUCUUGAGAUGUUGCUUCAAUAUAUCCACAUAAUCUUCCUCCCUCAUGACGCCAUCUAUUUUGUGAAGUGCACCAGUCCCUCCUGCAGCAAAGCACCCCCAGAACAUGAUGCUGCCACCCCCGUGCUUCACGGUUGGGAUGGUGUUCUUCGGCUUGCAAGCCUCCCCCUUUUUCCUCCAAACAUAACAAUGGUCAUUAUGGCCAAACAGUUCUAUUUUUGUUUCAUCAGACCAGAUGACAUUUCUCCAAAAAAGUAUGAUCUUUGUCCCCAUGUGCAGUUGCAAACCGUAGCCUGGCUUUUUUAUGGCAGUUUUGGAGCAGUGGCUUCUUCCUUGCUGAGAGGCCUUUCAGGUUAUGUCGAUAUAGGACUCGUUUUACUGUGGAUAUAGAUACUUUUGUACCUGUUUCCUCCAGCAUCUUCACAGGGUCCUUUGCUGUUGUUCUGGGAUUGAUUUGCACUUUUCACACCAAAGUACGUUCAUCUCUAGGAGACAGAACACGUCUCCUUCCUGAGCGGUAUGACGGCUGCGUGGUCCCAUGGAGUUUAUACUUGGUUCUUCUGUAGCUCAGUUGGUAGAGCAUGGCGCUUGUAACGCCAGGGUAGUGGGUUCGAUCCCCGGGACCACCCAUACGUAGAAUGUAUGCACACAUGACUGUAAGUCGCUUUGGAUAAAAGCGUCUGCUAAAUGGCAUAUAUUAUUAUUAUAUAUUACUAUUGUAUGUAUAGAUGAACGUGGUACCUUCAGGCGUUUGGAAAUUGCUCCCAAGGAUGAACCAGACUUGUGGAGGUCUACAAUUUUAUUCUGAGGUCUUGGCUGAUUUCUUUUGAUUUUCCCAUGAUGUCAAGAAAAGAGAGACUGAGUUUGAAGGUAGGCCUUGAAAUACAUCCACAGGUUCACCUCCAAUUGACUCAAAUUAUGUCAAUUAGCCUAUCAGAAGCUUCUAAAACCAUGACAUCAUUUUCUGGAAUUUUCCAAGGUGUUUAAGUGCCCAGUCAACUUAGUGUUUGUAAACUUCUGACCCACUGGAAUUGUGAUACAGUGAAUUAUAAGUGAAAUAAUCUGUCUGUGAACAAAUGUUGGAUAAAUUACUUGUGUCCCGCACAAAGUAGAUGCCCUAACCGAAUUGCCAAAACUAUAGUUUGUUAACAAGGUAAAGGUAAGAGUUAAUAGUUUGUUAACAAGGUAAGAGUUUAUAGUGUGUGUGUGUGUGUGUGUGUGUGUGUGUGUGUGUGUGUGUGUGUGUGUGUGUGUGUGUGUGUGUGUGUGUGUGUGUGUGUGUGUGUGUGUGUGUGUGUGUGUGUGUGUGUGUGUGUGUGUGUGUGUGUAACACACACCGAGUGGGAGAGAGUGAGUGUGAGAGCAUGAGAGAGUGACUGAAAGAGCGAGAGACAGAGAGAGAGACUGAAAGAGAGAGUGACUGUUGGGCCUGUGGAGCCUGUUGGGCCUGUGGGGCCUGUGGAGCCUGUGGGGCCUGUGGAGCC